GCAUGACACCAAGCAGCAAGUGUAAUUGAAGGGAAAUGCUCUAUCCAGAUACCAAGAGGACUAGUCACGAGACCAGGCCUCAAAACAGGAAAAUGGUUCCAAUGGAGAAGUAGAGUAUGAGUCAAGAAUUGAGAGAUGAGCAAUAUACAUUAGCAUUAUAAAACACUAAAGAAAGUAUACAUGCCUAGAGCCUCUGAGGCACACUACAAAGAAGAUGACCUGAAAAGUGACUGCUUACAGGGUCCACAUAUAGGUGACAUGAAAGUUCCCUCAGCCUUGUCAGUAUGAAUGAGCCUGUAAAGUGAAGAUGAAUGAGAAAGGGAUUAGAUGAGUCAUCUGAGUCUGUAAGGCCCUUGCAACAAGAGCAUGAAGAUGAUAAAAGAGGACAGAAAGGGAACAAGUUGGGUGAAAAGAAAACAAUGAAUUAGGGUGAAAAGAUCAAGCCAGUGACCAAACUCUCUACAACUAGAAAAGACUUAUCAGUUUCUCAUGUAGUGGCUAUAUGCAUACUGGCUUUGUAAUCGUUGCUUAAGCCGUAUUUGUGCUGUGCAUUUUUUAUUAACUCCUAUGCAUCGCCAGGACCCUGAAGGUGUCAUACUCUUCCUGACAGGACCUACCAGCUUGACGGAGAGCUCUAUCCCCAUUUCCUAAAGAAGAAACCUGAUCCUUGGAAAUGUUCAGUGGCUGCCCCAAGGUAAUACAGCUGGUAAAUGAUGUCGGCACAACCUCUUGUGCUCUUGCCUCCUGCCACAAGAACAUAUGUCCCAGAAAAGGGCCACUCCAUCAGCCUAGGUCCAGAAAUGAGAGGACACAUGGACUGAACUUGAAGAUGGCCCACAGCAGACCUGCAGUCAACUCUCAGCCUUUAUGUAAUGCGGGAAAGAAGGAAAUGUGAAUAUUAUAGACUACUAAAAUUCUAAAGUUGUAACAUAGCAAAAUGAUCGAUACAAUUAGCAGUGGCAAUCAGUCUAGCAUAUUGUCAUGCUAUAUGCAUGCUAUAAAACUAUUGAACAAAAAUAUCACUAUCCUAUCAUGGACACAUUGGACUUUUCUUUUCUCCUUAUGACUGCAUCACGUGUGAUGAUCAGAAAUGGAGUGAAGACAGAAAAAUAAGAAAAUUCAAGAAUGUGCUACAGAGUGAUCCUCUCCCUCUUAGAGCACCCACAGAAACCACUCAUGGCUUCUCUGUCUGCAUCCUCUCCACACAAACAUAUUCUUUAAGGUACCAGCCCCAUAUCACAUACCUGUAUGUCAGCCCAUAAUAGGCCUUACCUUAGAAGCCAAAGAUCCAUAACUACACAGUAUUCAUGUUGUAUAAUGUGGAGCAGCACCAAA
rnacentral:lncRNA from 1 species